UACGUAGGGGGCGAGCGUUGUCCGGAAUUAUUGGGCGUAAAGAGCGUGUAGGCGGUCCGGUAAGUCCGCUGUGAAAGUCCAGGGCUCAACCCUGGAAUGCCGGUGGAUACUGCCGGGCUAGAGUCCGGAAGAGGCGAGUGGAAUUCCUGGUGUAGCGGUGAAAUGCGCAGAUAUCAGGAGGAACACCAAUUGCGAAGGCAGCUCGCUGGGACGUUACUGACGCUGAGACGCGAAAGCGUGGGGAGCAAACAGG
rnacentral:rRNA from 1 species